rnacentral:rRNA from 1 species
UUAAGCGACUAAGCGUACACGGUGGAUGCCCUGGCAGUCAGAGGCGAUGAAGGACGUGCUAAUCUGCGAUAAGCGUCGGUAAGGUGAUAUGAACCGUUAUAACCGGCGAUUUCCGAAUGGGGAAACCCAGUGUGAUUCGUCACACUAUCAUUAACUGAAUCCAUAGGUUAAUGAGGCGAACCGGGGGAACUGAAACAUCUAAGUACCCCGAGGAAAAGAAAUCAACCGAGAUUCCCCCAGUAGCGGCGAGCGAACGGGGAGCAGCCCAGAGCCUGAAUCAGUGUGUGUGUUAGUGGAAGCGUCUGGAAAGGCGCGCGAUACAGGGUGACAGCCCCGUACACAAAAAUGCACAUGCUGUGAGCUCGAUGAGUAGGGCGGGACACGUGGUAUCCUGUCUGAAUAUGGGGGGACCAUCCUCCAAGGCUAAAUACUCCUGACUGACCGAUAGUGAACCAGUACCGUGAGGGAAAGGCGAAAAGAACCCCGGCGAGGGGAGUGAAAAAGAACCUGAAACCGUGUACGUACAAGCAGUGGGAGCACGCUUAGGCGUGUGACUGCGUACCUUUUGUAUAAUGGGUCAGCGACUUAUAUUCUGUAGCAAGGUUAACCGAAUAGGGGAGCCGAAGGGAAACCGAGUCUUAACUGGGCGUUAAGUUGCAGGGUAUAGACCCGAAACCCGGUGAUCUAGCCAUGGGCAGGUUGAAGGUUGGGUAACACUAACUGGAGGACCGAACCGACUAAUGUUGAAAAAUUAGCGGAUGACUUGUGGCUGGGGGUGAAAGGCCAAUCAAACCGGGAGAUAGCUGGUUCUCCCCGAAAGCUAUUUAGGUAGCGCCUCGUGAAUUCAUCUCCGGGGGUAGAGCACUGUUUCGGCAAGGGGGUCAUCCCGACUUACCAACCCGAUGCAAACUACGAAUACCGGAGAAUGUUAUCACGGGAGACACACGGCGGGUGCUAACGUCCGUCGUGAAGAGGGAAACAACCCAGACCGCCAGCUAAGGUCCCAAAGUCAUGGUUAAGUGGGAAACGAUGUGGGAAGGCCCAGACAGCCAGGAUGUUGGCUUAGAAGCAGCCAUCAUUUAAAGAAAGCGUAAUAGCUCACUGGUCGAGUCGGCCUGCGCGGAAGAUGUAACGGGGCUAAACCAUGCACCGAAGCUGCGGCAGCGACGCUGAUGCGUUGUUGGGUAGGGGAGCGUUCUGUAAGCCUGCGAAGGUGUGCUGUGAGGCAUGCUGGAGGUAUCAGAAGUGCGAAUGCUGACAUAAGUAACGAUAAAGCGGGUGAAAAGCCCGCUCGCCGGAAGACCAAGGGUUCCUGUCCAACGUUAAUCGGGGCAGGGUGAGUCGACCCCUAAGGCGAGGCCGAAAGGCGUAGUCGAUGGGAAACAGGUUAAUAUUCCUGUACUUGGUGUUACUGCGAAGGGGGGACGGAGAAGGCUAUGUUGGCCGGGCGACGGUUGUCCCGGUUUAAGCGUGUAGGCUGGUUUUCCAGGCAAAUCCGGAAAAUCAAGGCUGAGGCGUGAUGACGAGGCACUACGGUGCUGAAGCAACAAAUGCCCUGCUUCCAGGAAAAGCCUCUAAGCAUCAGGUAACAUCAAAUCGUACCCCAAACCGACACAGGUGGUCAGGUAGAGAAUACCAAGGCGCUUGAGAGAACUCGGGUGAAGGAACUAGGCAAAAUGGUGCCGUAACUUCGGGAGAAGGCACGCUGAUAUGUAGGUGAAGUCCCUCGCGGAUGGAGCUGAAAUCAGUCGAAGAUACCAGCUGGCUGCAACUGUUUAUUAAAAACACAGCACUGUGCAAACACGAAAGUGGACGUAUACGGUGUGACGCCUGCCCGGUGCCGGAAGGUUAAUUGAUGGGGUUAGCGCAAGCGAAGCUCUUGAUCGAAGCCCCGGUAAACGGCGGCCGUAACUAUAACGGUCCUAAGGUAGCGAAAUUCCUUGUCGGGUAAGUUCCGACCUGCACGAAUGGCGUAAUGAUGGCCAGGCUGUCUCCACCCGAGACUCAGUGAAAUUGAACUCGCUGUGAAGAUGCAGUGUACCCGCGGCAAGACGGAAAGACCCCGUGAACCUUUACUAUAGCUUGACACUGAACAUUGAGCCUUGAUGUGUAGGAUAGGUGGGAGGCUUUGAAGUGUGGACGCCAGUCUGCAUGGAGCCGACCUUGAAAUACCACCCUUUAAUGUUUGAUGUUCUAACGUGGACCCGUAAUCCGGGUUGCGGACAGUGUCUGGUGGGUAGUUUGACUGGGGCGGUCUCCUCCUAAAGAGUAACGGAGGAGCACGAAGGUUGGCUAAUCCUGGUCGGACAUCAGGAGGUUAGUGCAAUGGCAUAAGCCAGCUUGACUGCGAGCGUGACGGCGCGAGCAGGUGCGAAAGCAGGUCAUAGUGAUCCGGUGGUUCUGAAUGGAAGGGCCAUCGCUCAACGGAUAAAAGGUACUCCGGGGAUAACAGGCUGAUACCGCCCAAGAGUUCAUAUCGACGGCGGUGUUUGGCACCUCGAUGUCGGCUCAUCACAUCCUGGGGCUGAAGUAGGUCCCAAGGGUAUGGCUGUUCGCCAUUUAAAGUGGUACGCGAGCUGGGUUUAGAACGUCGUGAGACAGUUCGGUCCCUAUCUGCCGUGGGCGCUGGAGAACUGAGGGGGGCUGCUCCUAGUACGAGAGGACCGGAGUGGACGCAUCACUGGUGUUCGGGUUGUCAUGCCAAUGGCACUGCCCGGUAGCUAAAUGCGGAAGAGAUAAGUGCUGAAAGCAUCUAAGCACGAAACUUGCCCCGAGAUGAGUUCUCCCUGACUCCUUGAGAGUCCUGAAGGAACGUUGAAGACGACGACGUUGAUAGGCCGGGUGUGUAAGCGCAGCGAUGCGUUGAGCUAACCGGUACUAAUGAACCGUGAGGCUUAACCUU